AUUGAACGCUGGCGGCAGGCCUAACACAUGCAAGUCGAGCGGGGACUUCGGUCCUAGCGGCGAACGGGUGAGUAAUGCUUGGGAAUCUGCCCAGUAGUGGGGGAUAACGUCCCGAAAGGGACGCUAAUACCGCAUACGUCCUACGGGAGAAAGAGGGGGAUCUUCGGACCUCUCGCUAUUGGAUGAGCCCAAGUCGGAUUAGCUAGUUGGUAGGGUAAUGGCCUACCAAGGCGACGAUCCGUAGCUGGUCUGAGAGGAUGAUCAGCCACACUGGAGCUGAGACACGGUCCAGACUCCUACGGGAGGCAGCAGUGGGGAAUAUUGGACAAUGGCGAAAGCCUGAUCCAGCCAUGCCGCGUGUGUGAAGAAGGCCUUCGGGUUGUAAAGCACUUUAAGCGGGGAGGAAGGUUCGCGGCCUAAUACGUCGCGGAAUUGACGUUACCCGCAGAAUAAGCACCGGCUAACUCUGUG
rnacentral:rRNA from 1 species